GCUUCUAGUAGGCCAAACUCCCAGGUGACCCCCGCAAGAAACGCGGUCCGGAGAGGGUCUGGCCCCACUGCUGGGGCAAGGGCUCUAGGCGCCCGGACCCCACGCCCGCAGCCUGCGGAGAACGUGCCGACAAGGACCUGUAGGGCCCCACUCCCCCUCCUCCCUCCCUCGGCGCAGCCCGGCCCAGGGGUCUGUCCUCCCAGGCCCAGGAAAGGAGGAAACCCACUUCCGCCGCGUCCAUGAUCUCCCGCGGCUUCUCCUGACUCUUGCGGCUGGCGCUGGCGCUGGGCAUCGGGACACGGAACUGGGCAGUGGACACCACCCUCCCUCGCAGGCUUCCCCCUUUCAACUCCGCUCGGCUGUAACCGCAGACUCGUCACUAAAACACCCACCUAAGCGCGGGCCUUGGUUUCUCCUCUCUUGGACUUUCCCGCCUUCUCUCUUCCCCUGGGCGACGUAGCUGCUUGGGGACGGAGGAGGCCUCUUCGCAAUCCAUUGCCCUGCUUGUUGGGACAGAGGAGUGCAGUUGGCUUGCCAAGGCAGCAUGGGUUACCAGUCCCUGUGUAAGUGAGGUGUAAAUACAGUGGCAACGACAACAA
rnacentral:lncRNA from 1 species